UCAUAAAAACAGCAAGAUGUUCAUCACAUUGAUUUUAUCUUUUCAUAUUAAUCUUGUUUCAGGUUCUUCUCUGAAUGACCAGGUCCAACAGACUCCAAAGGACAUAUACAACACAAAGGGAACCAUCGCUGAAAUCCAAUGUUCCCAUGACAUCGACAGCUACAACCGAAUCUUUUGGUACAAACAGCUGAAUGAUGGACAGCUGCAGUUGUUGGGUUACAUCUGGGACACUUCACCAUCUGCAGAGUCUGGGGCUAAAGUACAAAUUAGAGGAGAUGCAAACAAGGGUGAAACUUCAACUUUAACCAUAGAGGAGCCAAGCAGUGCGAUCUACUACUGUGCAGCUUCUCUCACAGUGUCUCCAUCAGAUGUCUUCAAAAACCCAGGAGAGCAGAUCCAAGUAGUCUGCAGUCAUGAGAAAAUGGAUUAUUAUAUGAUGCACUGGUACCAAAAGUUACCUGGCGACCUGUCAAUCAAACGUAUUGGACAUAUCUACCAUGGAAGCAAUGACUAUGAGGAAUCUUAUAAGAAACAUUUUACAUUUACUGGAGAUUUGAGCGCGGGAAAAGCCAAAAAUGCUUCCAUGUUUAUAAAGGACCUACAGCCCGAGCACAGUGCAGUAUAUUACUGUGCAGCGAGCCCUGCACAAUGA